GUAGUCCACGCCGUAAACGAUGAAUGCUAGGUGUUAGGGGUUUCGAUACCCUUGGUGCCGAAGUUAACACAUUAAGCAUUCCGCCUGGGGAGUACGGUCGCAAGACUGAAACUCAAAGGAAUUGACGGGGACCCGCACAAGCAGUGGAGUAUGUGAUUUAAUUCGAAGCAACGCGAAGAACCUUACCAGGUCUUGACAUCCCUCUGACCGCUCUAGAGAUAGGGCUUUCCUUCGGGACAGAGGAGACAGGUGGUGCAUGGUUGUCGUCAGCUCGUGUCGUGAGAUGUUGGGUUAAGUCCCGCAACGAGCGCAACCCUUGAUCUUAGUUGCCAGCACUUUGGGUGGGCACUCUAAGAUGACUGCCGGUGACAAACCGGAGGAAGGUGGGGAUGACGUCAAAUCAUCAUGCCCCUUAUGACCUGGGCUACACACGUACUACAAUGGCCGAUACAACGGGAAGCGAAACCCCUAUCAAAGUCGGUCUCAGUUCGGAUUGCAGGCUGCAACUCGCCUG
rnacentral:rRNA from 1 species